CACGUUAAACACUUAUACGCGUAUGCAUUUUUCGAAUAACUCACGUUAAGAUUGGUACGUGAAUUAGUAUACUUAUAAUUAUCAACAGUAGCCUGAUUCAAUUUUCUAAAUAUAUUGUAUCUAUAAGUCAGUAUAAACAAGAGAAUUUUGACGUACGUACUAAUCAUCAAUUCAGAAAUUAUAAAUUGCCUACAUCACAGAAAGCGGAACAUUCAUUCUAAAUUAGAAUAAACAUCUCACAAAAUGUGGUUCGACGAUUUCUUCUCAAAAAUUAUCGAUGCAUUUAAAACACCAAAUAACAGAGAAGUGAAAGUUACAACUAGAGUGUUAACUUCCCAAGAACAGUCAUCCACAGAUCCUAAUACUCCAGUCGAAGAUCAAAACGACACAGGGAAGAGCGUUCAAGAUGACAAAAAAUAAUCAGGUUGCAUAAAAUGGAGAAAAUGAUCGAGAACAUUUCUACUUGGACAUGGAUGCUUGAUACCAGAUUAAACUUAUUCAAUCAGAAUACCUACAUUGUACAUACCAUUUUUUCAAACCUUCAUUUUUUUGUAAUUUUUUACCUACACAAUAAACAAUUUUUUAUAGAUUA